rnacentral:rRNA from 1 species
AGCCAGCAGCCGCGGUAAAACGUAGGAGCCAAGCGUUAUCCGAAUUCACUGGGCGUAAAGCGCGUGCAGGCGGCCUGGUAAGUUGGAUGUGAAAUCUCCUGGCUCAACUGGGAGAGGCCGUUCAAUACUGUCAGGCUAGAGGGCGACAGAGGGAGGUGGAAUUCCGGGUGUAGUGGUGAAAUGCGUAGAUAUCCGGAGGAACACCAGAGGCGAAGGCGACCUCCUGGGUCGCACCUGACGCUCAGACGCGAAAGCUAGGGGAGCGAACGGGAUUAGAAACCCCGGUAGUCCUAGCCGUAAACGAUGUAGACUGGGUGUCGGCGGGGUAAAAGCCGUCGGUGCCGAAGCCAACGCGAUAAGUCUACCGCCUGGGGACUACGGCCGCAAGGUUAAAACUUAAAGGAAUUGGCGGGGGA